ACAAGCAGCGGAGCGUGUGGUUAAUUCGAUGCAACGCGAAGAACUUACCAGGGUUUGACAUGCUUAAAGUAGAAACUCGAAAGAGGGACGACCUGUAUCCAGUCAGGAGUUUGCACAGGUGCUGCAUGGCUGUCGUCAGCUCGUGCCGUGAGGUGUUAGGUUAAGUCCUGCAACGAGCGCAACCCUCGUCGCUAGUUGUUUUCUCUAGCGAUACUGCCCGUAUAACGUGGAGGAAGGUGGGGAUGACGUCAAGUCAGCAUGGCCCUUACAUCCUGGGCUACACACACGCUACAAUGGGUGAUACAACAGGUUGCUAAGCCGCGAGGUGGAGCCAAUCCAUAAAGCUGGUCUCAGUUCAGAUUGCAGGCUGCAACCCGCCUGCAUGAAGAUGGAGUUGCUAGUAACCGCAGGUCAGCUAUACUGCGGUGAAUACGUUCCCGGGGCUU
rnacentral:rRNA from 1 species